UACAGAGGUCCCAAGCGUUGUUCGGAUUCAUUGGGCGUAAAGGGUGCGUAGGCGGCGCGGUAAGUCGGGCGUGAAAUCCCACGGCUCAACCGUGGAAGUGCACUCGAAACUGCAUAGCUAGAGUCCUGGAGAGGAAGGUGGAAUGCUUGGUGUAGAGGUGAAAUUCGUAGAUAUCAAGCGGAACACCGGUGGCGAAGGCGGCCUUCUGGACAGUGACUGACGCUGAGACGCGAAAGCGUGGGGAGCAAACAGG
rnacentral:rRNA from 1 species